GGUGAAAAGCACCCCGGAAGGGGAGUGAAAUAGAACCUGAAACCGUGUGCUUACAAGUAGUCAGAGCCCGUUAAUGGGUGAUGGCGUGCCUUUUGUAGAAUGAACCGGCGAGUUACGAUUUGAUGCAAGGUUAAGCAGUAAAUGUGGAGCCGUAGCGAAAGCGAGUCUGAAUAGGGCGUUUAGUAUUUGGUCGUAGACCCGAAACCAGGUGAUCUACCCUUGGUCAGGUUGAAGUUCAGGUAACACUGAAUGGAGGACCGAACCGACUUACGUUGAAAAGUGAGCGGAUGAACUGAGGGUAGCGGAGAAAUUCCAAUCGAACCUGGAGAUAGCUGGUUCUCUCCGAAAUAGCUUUAGGGCUAGCCUCAAGUGAUGAUUAUUGGAGGUAGAGCACUGUUUGGACGAGGGGCCCCUCUCGGGUUACCGAAUUCAGACAAACUCCGAAUGCCAAUUAAUUUAACUUGGGAGUCAGAACAUGGGUGAUAAGGUCCGUGUUCGAAAGGGAAACAGCCCAGACCACCAGCUAAGGUCCCAAAAUAUAUGUUAAGUGGAAAAGGAUGUGGCGUUGCCCAGACAACUAGGAUGUUGGCUUAGAAGCAGCCAUCAUUUAAAGAGUGCGUAAUAGCUCACUAGUCGAGUGACACUGCGCCGAAAAUGUACCGGGGCUAAACAUAUUACCGAAGCUGUGGAUUGUCCUUUGGACAAUGGUAGGAGAG
rnacentral:rRNA from 1 species